CACGCGGCCACACUGGCACUGAAACACGGGCCAGACUCCUACGGGAGGCAGCAGUGGGGAAUCUUGCACAAUGGGGGCAACCCUGAUGCAGCGACGCCGCGUGAGCGAUGAAGCCCUUCGGGGUGUAAAGCUCUUUCGGCAGGGAAGAUGAUGACGGUACCUGCAGAAGCAGCUGCGGCUAACUACGUGCCAGCAGCCGCGGUAAUACGUAGGCAGCGAGCGUUGUUCGGAGUUACUGGGCGUAAAGGGUGUGUAGGCGGUUCUUUAAGUUUGGUGUGAAAUCUCCCGGCUUAACCGGGAGGGUGCGCCGAAUACUGAGGGACUAGAGUACGGGAGAGGAAAGUGGAAUUCCUGGUGUAGCGGUGAAAUGCGUAGAUAUCAGGAGGAACACCGGUGGUGUAGACGGCUUUCUGGACCGUAACUGACGCUGAGACACGAAAGCGUGGGUAGCAAACAGGAUUAGAUACCCUGGUAGUCCACGCCCUAAACGAUGCAUAUUUGGUGUGGGUCAUUCAGUUGAUCCGUGCCGGAGCUAACGCGUUAAAUAUGCCGCCUGGGGAGUACAGUCGCAAGGCUGAAACUCAAAGGAAUGA
rnacentral:rRNA from 1 species